GGGGCCGUUCUGGAUUCGACUGGUAUAGGUUGCGCCCCAACUGCACUCCGUAGCGGCAUCUACGUUAAAAGGUCCAGUUUAAUUAUAACUGCAAAAAAUAAUAACAAUUCUUACGCUUUAGCUGCUUAAUAGGCGCUUAACGUAGAUCCUCCUAGGCUUGUCCGUGGUCUAGAUCUGGGUCCUAAAUUUAACGGACUUACGCUAACGACUCCCACCUGAAGUACGUUAGAAGAGAAAAAUCAGGUUAGCUGUUCAUUGUGGGCCCUGACAGGCGGCAAGUUGGGCAGUGAAACCUUAAGUAGUCUGAAUAUGAGUGUAGACGUUGGGGUGGCAAUAUGCUAGGACGCGGGUUCGAUCCCCGCCGGCUCCAUAA
rnacentral:tmRNA from 1 species